CAGUCUGUCUGUCUGUCUGUUAGCCUGCCUGCCUGCCUGUCUGCCAGCCUGUCGUUUGUUUGUUUGUUUGUCUGUCUGCGUGUCUGCCUUUGUCUGUUUGCCUGUCUGCAUUCACUUUUGCGUCUGUCUGUCUGGGUCUGUCUGUCUGUCAUGGUAGUAAUUCAAACAUGAUUACUAUUACAGACUAGAUAAAGUAGCUAAUAGCAAACUUUAAAGUGUCAGUCUGUCUGUCUGUCUGCCUGUCUGUCUGUCUGUCUGUCUGUCUGUCUGUUUGUCAAUACAUAUAUUUUCAAACAUUGAACUAUUAUACACCAUCUAUGCAAAGCAACUAGAUACUACCCAAGCCAAUAGGGCUUGGUUCUACGUACAACUGUUUAUAUUGUCUGUCUUCUAUUUUAUUUUCAACAUCAACGCUACCAUACAGUGAAUAUCAGUAAAAGGCACCACAGCUAAAUAGUUAGUUCUCGACCCAUCGUCUGUCUGUCUUAAUUCUAUAUUGAAUGCAUGAUUAAAACUACACUGUAGUACAAUGUCACUAACACUAAAACAAAGCUAAACAUAAAACUACGAGUCUAUGGGACUCAGCUAGUGGCCUCUCAAUACAACAACUAAUUAAAGAGACAUUUGGAGAUUUGCGUUAACGCAACGUUUCAGAGAUGCACGCUAACGUACAUUUGUAGUGUCUGUCCUGUCUACCAGUUGACCAUGUUGGAAGUGGGUGGUCCCCUGGACAUGCUUUUGCUCAUGAAGCCCCUUUCUGGGUCCUGGUCACAUGGACUUCAUGGUGUACUCCAUAUUGUAUCGUGUACGAUGCAUAUACAAUGCGUGGGAGUGUCAAGACGUGUGCAAAAUGUGACGUACUGUGUACUUGUGACAGUGUAGAGUCUGGUACAGAGUUGUAUGUUUCAACUGUAUUUUUUGUUAGUAUUUAGUAGCGGACCAGCUCGUCUACAACUUUUUUUGUGCCACAGCGUAUAUGUUGUGUUGGUAGGGCUGCAGCUACGCCCAUACGUGCUAGUUGCGGUUGUAUGUUAUGGAAGAAUAACAUACCGUGUCUGUCUGUUUGUCUGUCUGUCUGUCAAUACAUGUAUUUUUGAAUCACUAUAGUAAAGUCCAACUACCAGCAAUUACAAGCUUAUAAAGUCUUCAAACUACAGCUGCAUGCACAAGAAAGAAUACUAGUUAAUGGAAAGUAUUUUUUGAGUGAGAAACAGGUAGAAACAUGAUGAUUACAAUCUCCACAGAAGACGCACUAGACCACAACGUGGACAAGGUAAGUCUGCGAUAAUCCAAUGGAGAUUGAAGCCAUCAGAGAAAGUAGGGUUGAAGACCGAGGGAAGCAAAUGAAGAUGAAGAGGAUGACAACAGCUACUCGUGAAAGAUGCAAGAGGCCAUGUAAACGUGGGCAAGGUAAGUCUGCGGUCCAUCCACAAACACUGAAGCCACGCAAGAGAAAAUGAAAUGAAGGCAGAUGUGAUGACAGCAGAAUCUUCGGAAGACAUGCUAGACCACAUGCACGAGGCCAAGAGUCGGCGGCAGCAAAGUUUGAUUACACUUUAGUAACAUCAAUGAAGAAACUACGACACAGAAAACAGCAACAAGAGCGUUCAUUCCAGAUAAGGGGACCCCAACAUCGAAAUUGGUUAAAUUCAAUCGAAUUCAGCUUUUCGUCUUCAUCACGUGAUCUUAGUGAGAUCUGGUGGAGAAACUCUCCACUAUUCCCCCAAUGUCCAAAAUGAUAAAAACCUCAAGGGAAUCAAGCAAGGAGAACCUCCACCAGUCUGUCUGUCUGUCUAUGACUUUGUUGUUUGCAAGGACUGGUUUGCUUUUACAAAUUCCUAGCAUAUGUACUGUACAAGUAGAGUGUAUAUGAAUAAAGUAUCGGUCUGUCUGCCUGUCUUUCUGUCAGUCUGUCUGUCUUAAUUUCAAGUUGGGAGUUUUUGCAUUGCAAAGUUGAUCCAAAUUUCUGCUGCUAUCGCUGUUGCUCCUUUUGUGGGUUCGUGGUGCUAUUCAUUAUGUGAAGUCCCUCAGAGAAUUCCAUCUAGAGCAGGUUUA